rnacentral:rRNA from 1 species
CUUUAGCAAUAAUUAGUAUUAAAGGUCCUGCCUGCCCAGUGAAAUUUAUUUUUAACGGCCGCGGUAUUCUAACCGUGCAAAGGUAGCGUAAUCACUUGUCUUCUAAAUAAAGACCGGUAUGAAUGGCUAAAUGAGGAUAAACCUGUCUCCUGCACCCAAUCAGUGAAACUGAUCUCUCAGUCCAAAAGCUGGGAUAACAACACAAGACGAGAAGACCCUGUGGAGCUUAAAACACACUACUAUGAAACUAAAUAAGUAAUUAGUACCCAUUUUAAGUUGGGGCGACUUCGGAACAAAACAAAACUUCCGAGCACAGAACCACCACUUCUUACCAAGGCUAACAAGCCGACAUAAAUGACCCAGUCAUACUGAUCAACGAACCAAGUUACCCCAGGGAUAACAGCGCUAUCUUCUUCAAGAGUCCAUAUCGACAAGAAGGUUUACGACCUCGAUGUUGGAUCAGGACACCCAAAUGGUGCAGCCGCUAUUAAAGGUUCGUUUGUUCAACGAUUAACAGUCCUACGUGAUCUGAGUUCAGACCGGAGCAAUCCAGGUCGGU